rnacentral:rRNA from 1 species
UGACAGUACUCCUACGGGAGGCAGCAGUGAGGAAUAUUGGACAAUGGGGCAACCCUGAUCCAGCCAUGCCGCGUGCAGGAAGACUGCCCUAUGGGUUGUAAACUGCUUUUGUACGGGAAGAAACACCCCACGUGUGGGGGCUUGACGGUACCGUAAGAAUAAGGAUCGGCUAACUCCGUGCCAGCAGCCGCGGUAAUACGGAGGAUCCGAGCGUUAUCCGGAAUCAUUGGGUUUAAAGGGUCCGUAGGCGGGCCAUUAAGUCAGGGGUGAAAGUUUGCGGCUCAACCGUAAAAUUGCCUUUGAUACUGGUGGUCUUGAAUCGUUGUGAAGUGGCUAGAAUGUGUAGUGUAGCGGUGAAAUGCAUAGAUAUUACACAGAAUACCGAUUGCGAAGGCAGGUCACUAACAACGCAUUGACGCUGAGGGACGAAAGCGUGGGGAGCGAACAGGAUUAGAUACCCUGGUAG